CCUACGGGAGGCAGCAGUGAGGAAUAUUGGUCAAUGGACGAGAGUCUGAACCAGCCAAGUAGCGUGAAGGAUGACUGCCCUAUGGGUUGUAAACUUCUUUUAUAUGGGAAUAAAAUGUUCCACGUGUGGGAUUUUGUAUGUACCAUAUGAAUAAGGAUCGGCUAACUCCGUACCAGCAGCCGCGGUAAUACGGAGGAUCCGAGCGUUAUCCGGAUUUAUUGGGGUUAAAGGGAUCGUAGGUGGAUUGUUAAGUAAGUUGGGAAAGUCUGCGGCUCAACCGUAAAAUUGCAGUUGAUACUGGCAGUCUUGAGUACAGUAGAGGUGGGCGGAAUUCGUGGUGUAGCGGUGAAAUGCUUAGAUAUCACGAAGAACUCCGAUUGCGAAGGCAGCUCACUGGACUGCAACUGACACUGAGGCACGAAAGUGUGGGUAUCAAACAGGAUUAGAUACCCUUGUAGUC
rnacentral:rRNA from 1 species